CAGGGGGUUGUUAGGACAUCCUGAUAAUAAUGAAUUACAGUAGUCCAGCCUGGAAGUAAUAAAUGCAUGAACUAGUUUUUCAGCGUCACUCUGAGACAGGAUAUUUCUAAUUUUAGAGAUGUUGCGUAAAUGGAAACAAAAUCUAUUCGGACCAGCAUCUACCACCAUCAAGUUGACAGGCUGGUGGAGGGGCUGAAUAACACAAGUUCAUUCAGGAAUGGAAUUGGGAUCUUCGGUUAGACUGUCUGGGUUUCGCAGUGCAGGAGAUGCCCCAGGCCUCCACUUGAUUUUCUUCUCUUUGAGUUACUGUUCAACAGCCUUCAGUUUAUCCAAAAUGCUGCAGCAAGAGUACUGACAGGGACUAGAAUGAGCAUAACUCUCUUUUAUUUUGUUCUCUUCAUUAGCUUCCUAUUAAAUCCAGAAUCAAAUUUAAAAUCCUUCUCAUCACAUUUUCUCAUCAGAUUUUUUUUUUGUUUGUUUGUUUUUUUUGUUGUUUUUUUUGUUUUUUUUCUCAUCAGAUUUAAAUAAUAAGGCCCUAUCUUAUCUUGCUGACCUUAUAGUAUCUUAUCAUCCCAUUAGAGCACUUUACUCUUAGACUGUGAGCUUACUUGUGGUUCCUACAGUAUUUAAAAGUAGAAUGUGAGGCAGAGCCUCACAGUGGUGUUAUACAGUGCUAUUGUCCCAUCAGCCAGCCACCAAGAAGACCAAAAUUACAACAUUCAGGAGAAAUUACGUAAAAAAAAAACCCCCAAAAAACAUGUGUUAAAACAGCGAAGUGUUGAGUCACUGCAGCCCCUAUCUGUACUUGAAAUACUUUCUUUUUUAAUCAGUUAUGGUUUUGUUCCUUGUUUUUGUUUUUUUAAUGUCCUAUUUAUGGUAAGUCCUGUUACCAUAGGGAUGAGAAUGCUUUUGUUUGUUUGUUUUUCAUUUCAAUCAUUGCAGUGAUUGUGGAAAUGUGUCUGUUGUCAGUUCUUUGGGUCUUGGGUUCAGCUUGUGUGAAAUUUGUAGGAAGUUGUCAGACCAGUUCCUUUCCUAUUAUUUAAGCUGCUCAGUGAACUGACUGGAUAUUGCCAUACUUCUGCUUUUUGUUUGUUUGUUUGUUUUUUCUAUGGUUACAUUUUUUUAAAUUUCUAUUUCCACUACUGGAUGGAGCCACAGAAUUCAUGGGACAAAAAUUGUUCCAGUCAAGACCCGACUUACUGUGAGUAGUCAAAACACGUACAUGAACUAUUACGUUGGUAUUAGUGCUCUGUGAUCUGACACGUCAAAUGUAAAAUAACAUAACAUCACUGUAAAUGUAAUAAAACACAAUUUACUUGUUUUUUAAAUAUAUUUUUUGUACAUAUGCAUAUUUAGAUUGUAAAAAUACAUCCAGAAAUGUCUCCCAUCAUGCCUUGGGGCAUGUGCUGCUGUUUAGAUGUUCUUGUUCUAUUGUUUAUGGUUACGUUACUUUUAACUGUUAUCUUGAAUGUUGUGUUUACGCCGUGGUGCAGAGUCACUGACAGUUGUUGUUUUGUAGAGAGAGUGCUGUACCAUGAGUGACUUCUAUUGUGCUGUUGUUGAACCUUGAGGCACAUUGUAGCACCCGCAAGUGUUUUAAUAAAGUGCUCCCCCUACCAGCUUGGGGUUAAAUAACAAGCUCAAUCUCUCUCUGUGAGCUUCUUUGUUAAGAUUUCUCUGCAUGCCACAAUGGCAAUCGUGGCUCAAGAGUUGGCAGUUUACCUUGUGAUCAGAAGAUUGCCGGUUCGCGCCCCGGCUCGGACACUCUCCGUCGUUGUGUCCGUGGUCAAGACUCUUCACCUACCGCCUACUAGUGAUGGCCGAUGGUGCGAUAUGGAAGCCUUGCCUCUGUCAGUC
ensembl:lncRNA